AGUUGCUGUAGACAAGAACUGGCGUAAUCACAAUGGGCUGAGCAGAUUCCUCAUGUUUCUUACUUCCGUGAUUUCACAGGGUGCUUUGAAAGGCAAACAAACCGUGGGAAAUGCUGCCUAUAAUCAAGAUGAAAACCGUCUUAGAAGCAACAAUAUUUUUCAACCUGCUGGACCAUGCAAUUUAGCGAACAUUUUGGUACCAGUGCGCUGGUGGGAAAAACUGCACUUAAAUCAAAACAUUUAAUUUUACUUGGACAAGUGUCUUAUUUUAUUGGUAUAUCCCUAUUUAAGAUUUUUCUAAAAUCACCAAGACCAGAAUUAUUGAGACUACAUCAAUGUUUUACCAGAGCAAUGAAUAGACGAAGAAAAAUGAUGCAGUAAGAAGUACCAUAAAAGUCAAAACUAGCCUCCCCCAGUCCCCAGGAGAGGAAGACAUAAUGUCAGCUUGGCCAGUGAUUUCAAUGCUGCUUGGGAGCCAGAACAGAAGGAACUGGCUGCACAACUGGAGGAUGUCACAGUACAGGCUCCCAGACCUUGACCUAGAACUUGAUGCAAGGACAUUUUACUGAAUCCAUUUUGGCAAGGACUGAGUCUCUCCUCACCAAGAAGGCAGAGAAUGACAAUCAAGGACACAAAACUUAGGUCUUGAUCUAUUCUAAGUUUGAUCUGAUGUUGGGCCUUGUAUCCUGUUUCACAUGAGAUGUUUGUCACUGUUCUUUAAUUUGUCCCUCCAGCCAAAAAUCAAAAUCAAUCUACAUCUUCCUGACUCUACUGACAAGUAGGAACUGGAGGAAAUAAGGGAAAUGUCACAUUUAAAUAAAAGACAGACUGAGGUU